CAGCCACACUUCGUGGUUCCAUCUGUUUACCUACAAACGGUUUCACGUCCUUUUGAACUCUCUCUUCAAAGUUCUUUGCAACUUUCCCUUACGGUACUUGUUUACUAUCGGAAUUACCAAAAUAUUUAGCCUUAAGAGGAGUUUACCUCUUUAUUUAGGUUGCAACUUCAAACAACCUGACUCUCAUAUAAUUAAAACUAACAGAACAUGUAUAGAAAUAUUACCGUCGGUCUUGCACCGUCUAUGGAAAAUUACCCUUGUCAGAGGGAUUUGUAAUUCUAUACUGUUAACUGUUAUAUGUUUUAAUAUUUACGCAGCACCGCCCAAAAUUAUUUAAAAAUAAUGGGCCUUUGCUAUGGACUCAUCCCUUUUCACUCGCCGUUACUAAGGGAAUCCCAUUUGGUUUCUUUUCCUCAGCUAAAUUAUAUGCUUAAAUUCAGGGGG
rnacentral:rRNA from 1 species